rnacentral:rRNA from 1 species
UGGGGAAUCUUCCGCAAUGGACGAAAGUCUGACGGAGCAACGCCGCGUGAGUGAAGACGGCCUUCGGGUUGUAAAGCUCUGUUAUUCGGGAAGAACGAUUCGUUUGUGAACAAUGAACGGAAGUGACGGUACCGAAAGAGAAAGCCACGGCUAACUACGUGCCAGCAGCCGCGGUAAUACGUAGGUGGCAAGCGUUGUCCGGAAUUAUUGGGCGUAAAGAGCGCGUAGGCGGUAUGGUAAGUCUGUCUUAGAAGUGCGGGGCUUAACCCCGUGAGGGGACAGAGACUGUCAUACUGGAGUCUCGGAGAGGGAAGAGGAAUUCCUAGUGUAGCGGUGAAAUGCGUAGAGAUUAGGAAGAACACCGGUGGCGAAGGCGGCUUUCUGGACGAGCACUGACGCUGAGGCGCGAAAGCGUGGGGAGCGAACAGG